rnacentral:rRNA from 1 species
GACGAACGCUGGCGGCGUGCUUAACACAUGCAAGUCGAACGGAAAGGCCCUGCUUUUGUGGGUGUCCGGGUGGCGAAAGGGGGAAGUAAAAGGUGAGCAACUGACCCUGAUUUUUGGUUGACUUUAAGGAACUGGGGCUUAAUCCCGUACGGGAUCCCCCCUUCCGGGGUGGGGGUGGGAACUUUGGGGCGGUGGGGGAUGGACGCGCGGCUUUCGGGUUUGUUGGUGGGGUGGGGGCUUACCAAGCCUUUGGCGGGUGCCCGGCCUGGGAGGGUGAACGGCCACAUUGGGACUGAGAUACGGCCCAGACUCCUACGGGAGGCAGCAGUGGGGAAUAUUGCACAAUGGGCGGAAGCCUGAUGCAGCAACGCCGCGUGCGGGAUGACGGCCUUCGGGUUGUAAACCGCUUUCGCCUGUGACGAAGCGUGAGUGACGGUAAUGGGUAAAGAAGCACCGGCUAACUACGUG